GUGCGCAGCCGCGCUGCGUCUGGCUCUCGGUACUGUGUUCCUCGUCUGAGCCCGGUGGGCGCGCGCGCUUCGCACUCUCCGCAUUGGCUGCUCCCGGCGUUACGUCACCCACAACGGUUAAAACCGCCGCCUCGGGAGCUCUCCCGGUUUCUGCCAUCAGACCGUUUCACGGCGAUUCAGCUGGCGGUUGGGGCGGGGGUGGGGUUCAAAAGGUCCCCAUAAAAAUUGAAAACGGAACUUGACCACGAAACGAAAAGCAAAACCGUAUCUUCUUCUUCCCUCUGCUCUCUUUUGCUCAAAAAGGUGGACAGCAUACUUCAACAUUGAUCUCCAAAUGGUUGUGAUUACAGCCUUUCUCAGCUGAGAGAGAACAACAGUAGCUGUACCUACGAUGAAGAGGAAAUGCUACAGAGAUUGGCCUUGCAGUUGAGACGCACUGGAGAUGGAAUCAACAAUAGAGUGCUUCAAGAGGGCCUUCAAUUAGAAGACGUCAGAGACACAGUGGCUCAUUUUGUCUUAUUUUUGCUUAGGAAAGCUCAUUUGGUUUUGAGCUAUUUUUUGGCUAACCAUCCAAUGUAGAACAAAACUUUAAAUUUAAGCUAUUUGUUUUCUCUCUGCUUUUUGAGACACACAAGUUCCCCUUAUUGAACUAUAAAGUCCUGAGGAUAAACACCGCACCUCAUUGAUCUUCCUGUCUCCCUGGGUGGUUUAUACCUAGUAGGUACAGAGCAAAGUGGUAGAAUGGUAUGAAGGCUGGAAGUGGAGUCAAAUCUCAGCUCAAAAUCUGGCUGUGACAGUUACUGGCCAUGGGACCCGGAGAAAGUCACUUAAGUUCACUGAAUCUGUUUCUAUGUCAAUAAAAUGAGACUAAUUAUAAUGCUUAUACUACUGUUAUCCUAGGACUGUUAUGAGGAAAAUAUUUUCCUCCCUAGUGUUCUGCGUGUAUCAGGAGCUUAAUAAAUCUUUAUAGAACAGAAUGAAAUG